CUAGCUCAGAGCAGAGGUCUGUGAAGUUCCCCCUGCCACCAUGGACUGGGUUCCCUUCUACAUCAUGCCCUUUAUUUUCUCUACAGGCUUCUGUUCUCUGCCUGUGCUGACCCAGCCUUCAUCUGCAUCUGCCUCCCUGGGAGCCUCAGUCAAGCUCACCUGCACACUGAGCAGUGAGCACAGCAAUUAUUUGGUUCACUGGUAUCAAGAGCGACCAGGGAAGGCUCCCCUGUAUAUGAUGUUAGUUAGAAGAGAUGGAAGCCACAGCAAGGGGGAUGGGAUCCCCAACCGCCUCUCAGGCUCCAGCUCUGGAGUUGACCGCUAUUUAACCAUCUCCAACAUCCAGUCUGAAGAUGAGGCUGAGUAUUACUGUGGUGCAGACUAUGAAAUUGGUGGUCAAUACGGUUAA